AAGCGGGGGUCGGAGCCUCAAGGCUGCGGCGGCGACGAGCUCCGAGCGGGACACUGAACGGCCCGUAUGCGCAAGAUAAGCACGGACUGAAUCAGGUACACGCACCUGCCGGGGACGCACUGACCGAGGUGCGGACGGCGGUACCAGGACAGGUAAAGCCGCGAACACUCGGACCUAAGAACUUGACAGGUACACCCUGCCUGAUGAAGCUACGUACGGCCAGGUGCGCAUCGAGUGAAUCAGGUUAGAGCUGGGCAAAGAGGAAGCUGCUCAGGAUUGGAAGGUGGGAGAGAAGCAUCAGCCAUCACUCUCUGAGGUCGCCACAGUCAGAUGGAGUGACAGAUGAAGAGAUGCCUGGUGGGUCCCAGCUUGUCCUCGUUCUUCUCCCUUUGCCUCCAGCUCUUCUCCCUGGCUACCUACCCUGUUGGCCAAUGGCGGCUCAUGCUCAUCACCAGGCAUGUGGCUGCAGACACACGGAGGUGGGAGCCAUGCAGAGGCACCGGCUCUUCACAACCCUCUCUGCCAGCACCCGUUUCAGGGUCCUCCUUUGAUGUUGGGUGUGCUUGGCUUCUCCAAGUGACAGGUUAGUGCCUCCCCUGGGCCUCCAUCUGAUCUUCUGGACCUUUGCUUCCGCAGCUUCCCUCAAUUAUGCAAAUUCUAGGUCUGAUUCCUAGAAUAAAUACUGGAUCUCAAAGCACUCACAGGAUUCUGCUCCCCUGGCUGAACUCUGGUGGAAAUGAUGUCAUGUGACUUCGAAACUAGGCCUUAAGAGUCCUUGCAGUUUUCCCUGUCCUGAGGCCACAUCAUGCUGUGAAAAAACCCAACUUAGCAGAGGCUGAGAAGUUACACGGAGGAGAAUGGAAGAGCCCUGGUCAAUACACACAACUGUGAAAAAAAUAACUCACUGUAGACAUUUUUUUUAGGCUGAGAAAAUAUUUUUCUAUUAAUUGGUUGAUCUGUCAUUAUAUUCCAUUGCAUAGUCAGUGAUAAUAUACUAAGUAAAGUUUAGUGUAACCAUAUUAGAAUAAUCUAAAUUUGAAGAUAUUUAUUAGCUUUAUUAACUUAUACAAAAUAAAAUUCACUGCUUUUUUAUCGUGGUAAAAUAUAGACAACAUACAAUUAACCAUUUCAGCUACUUUUAGGUGUGCAGGUCAGUGGCAUUAGGUACAGUCACAUUGUUGUAUAAACAUCAUCACUAUCCACCUCCAGAACUUUUUCAUCAUUCCAGACAGAAACUCUGUAGCCAUUACACAACAAUUCCCCAUUCCCCCACCCCUUAGUGUAGGUUUUUUUUUCCCCAUUUUUUUUUGAGAAAGGGUCUCACUCUCUCACCUAGGCUGGAGUGCAGUGGCAGGAUCAUGCUCACUGUAACCUCCAACUCCUGGGUUCAAGUGAUCCUCCCACCUCAGCCUCCUGAGUAGCUAGGACUACAGACGUGUGCCACCAAGCCUAGCUUUUUAUUUUAUUUUUUGUAGAGAUGGGAAGGAGGCUGGCUAUGUUGCCCAGGUGCCCUCAGUGUAGUUUUAGGCCACUAAAUUUUGGGGUACGUUGUUACACAGCCGUAGAUAACUGAACAUUCAUACUUGGUGAGGUCAUAUGCUCUAAUUUUCUAGUUUAAAAAAUAGUUUCUCAGGCAAAACUAUGGAGAUGGUAAAAAGAUUUGUGUUUGCCAGGGGUUCUUGGGGUAAGGGUGGGAAGGUAUGAGUAGGUAGAGCAUAGAAGAUCUUUAGGGCAGUGAAAAUGCUCUGUAUGAUACUAUAAUGGGGAUACCCAGAGAGAACCAUGAUGCAAACUAUGGACUGUGGACUCUGGGUGGUGAUGAUGUUUCAUUGUAGGUUCAUCAAUGGUAACAAAUUCUUUUAUACCA
ensembl:lncRNA LITATS1 lncRNA induced by TGF-beta and antagonizes TGF-beta signaling 1